rnacentral:rRNA from 1 species
CACUCCUACGGGAGGCAGCAGUGGGGAAUGUUGGACAAUGGGCGCAAGCCUGAUCCAGCCAUGCCGCGUGAGUGAUGAAGGCCCUAGGGUUGUAAAGCUCUUUCACCGGUGAAGAUAAUGACGGUAACCGGAGAAGAAGCCCCGGCUAACUUCGUGCCAGCAGCCGCGGUAAUACGAAGGGGGCUAGCGUUGUUCGGAUUUACUGGGCGUAAAGCGCACGUAGGCGGACUAUUAAGUCAGGGGUGAAAUCCCGGGGCUCAACCCCGGAACUGCCUUUGAUACUGGUAGUCUUGAGUUCGAGAGAGGUGAGUGGAAUUCCGAGUGUAGAGGUGAAAUUCGUAGAUAUUCGGAGGAACACCAGUGGCGAAGGCGGCUCACUGGCUCGAUACUGACGCUGAGGUGCGAAAGCGUGGGGAGCAAACAGGAUUAGAUACCCUUGUAGUCCCAU